AACGAACGCUGGCGGCGCGCCUAAUACAUGCAAGUCGAGCGAGAAGACGUAGCAAUACGUUUGUAAAGCGGCGAACGGGUGAGGAAUACAUGGGUAACCUACCCUCGAGUGGGGAAUAACUAGCCGAAAGGUUAGCUAAUACCGCGUACGCUCCUUGGACUUCGGUUCAGGGAGGAAAGCGAUACCGUGGGUAUCGCGCUCUUGGAUGGGCUCAUGUCCUAUCAGCUUGUUGGUGAGGUAACGGCUCACCAAGGCUUCGACGGGUAGCUGGUCUGAGAGGACGAUCAGCCACACUGGCACUGCGACACGGGCCAGACUCCUACGGGAGGCAGCAGUAAGGAAUAUUGCGCAAUGGGCGAAAGCCUGACGCAGCGACGCCGCGUGGGGGGAU
rnacentral:rRNA from 1 species